AGUGGGGAAUAUUGGACAAUGGGCGCAAGCCUGAUCCAGCCAUGCCGCGUGGGUGAUGAAGGCCCUAGGGUUGUAAAGCCCUUUCGGCGGGGAAGAUAAUGACGGUACCCGCAGAAGAAGCCCCGGCUAACUUCGUGCCAGCAGCCGCGGUAAUACGAAGGGGGCUAGCGUUGCUCGGAAUCACUGGGCGUAAAGCGCACGUAGGCGGAUUGCUAAGUCAGGGGUGAAAUCCUGGAGCUCAACUCCAGAACUGCCUUUGAUACUGGCGAUCUCGAGUCCGGGAGAGGUGAGUGGAACUGCGAGUGUAGAGGUGAAAUUCGUAGAUAUUCGCAAGAACACCAGUGGCGAAGGCGGCUCACUGGCCCGGUACUGACGCUGAGGUGCGAAAGCGUGGGGAGCAAA
rnacentral:rRNA from 1 species